GCCAGGCACAGUGGUGCAUGCCUGUAAUCCCAGUGGCUCCGGAGGCUGAAACAGGAGGAUUGUGAGUUCAAAGCCAGCCUCAGCAAAGGCAAGCCACUAAGCCACUCGGUGAGACCCUGUCUCUA
rnacentral:sRNA from 1 species